AUUGAACGCUGGCGGAAUGCUUUACACAUGCAAGUCGAACGGCAGCACGGGGGCAACCCUGGUGGCGAGUGGCGAACGGGUGAGUAAUACAUCGGAACGUGCCCAAUCGUGGGGGAUAACGUAGCGAAAGCUACGCUAAUACCGCAUACGAUCUACGGAUGAAAGCGGGGGAUCGCAAGACCUCGCGCGAAUGGAGCGGCCGAUGGCAGAUUAGGUAGUUGGUGGGGUAAAGGCUCACCAAGCCAACGAUCUGUAGCUGGUCUGAGAGGACGACCAGCCACACUGGGACUGAGACACGGCCCAGACUCCUACGGGAGGCAGCAGUGGGGAAUUUUGGACAAUGGGCGAAAGCCUGAUCCAGCCAUUCCGCGUGCAGGAUGAAGGCCUUCGGGUUGUAAACUGCUUUUGGACGGAACGAAAAGCCACUUUCUAAUACAAGGUGGUCAUGACGGUACCGUCAGAAUAAGCACCGGCUAACUACGUG
rnacentral:rRNA from 1 species